GAUGAACGCUAGCGGCAGGCCUAACACAUGCAAGUCGAGGGGGCAGCACGGAUUGCUUGCAAUCUGGUGGCGACCGGCGCACGGGUGCGUAACGCGUAUACAACCUACCUUUUGGAGGGGAAUAGCCCAGAGAAAUUUGGAUUAAUACCCCAUAGUAUAUAGGAAUCUCCUGAUUUUUAUAUUAAACAUUUAUGGCCAUUAGAUGGGUAUGCGUCCUAUUAGCUAGUUGGUGUGGUAACGGCACACCAAGGCUACGAUAGGUAGGGGUCCUGAGAGGGAGACUACCCCACACUGGUACUGAGACACGGACCAGACUCCUACGGGAGGCAGCAGUGAGGAAUAUUGGACAAGUGGGCGAGAGCCUGAUCCAGCCAUGCCGCGUGCAGGAAGACUGCCCUAUGGGUUGUAAACUGUCUUUUACAGAGGAAGAACCCACCCCCACGUGUGGGGGUUUGACGGUACUCUGCGAAUAAGGAUCGGCUAACUCCGUG
rnacentral:rRNA from 1 species